rnacentral:rRNA from 1 species
AGUGAACGCUGGCGGCAGGCCUAACACAUGCAAGUCGAACGGCAGCACAGCAGUAGCAAUACUGUGGGUGGCGAGUGGCGGACGGGUGAGGAAUACAUCGGAAUCUGCCUUAUCGUGGGGGAUAACGUAGGGAAACUUACGCUAAUACCGCAUACGACCUACGGGUGAAAGCGGAGGACCUUCGGGCUUCGCGCGAUAAGAUGAGCCGAUGUCGGAUUAGCUAGUUGGCGGGGUAAAGGCCCACCAAGGCGACGAUCCGUAGCUGGUCGGCGAGGAUGAUCAGCCACACUGGAACGGAGACACGGUCCAGACUCCUACGGGAGGCAGCAGUGGGGAAUAUUGGACAAUGGGCGCAAGCCUGAUCCAGCCAUGCCGCGUGGGUGAAGAAGGCCUUCGGGUUGUAAAGCCCUUUUGUCCGGAAAGAAAAGCACUGGGUUAAUACCCUGGUGUUCUGACGGUACCGGAAGAAUAAGCACCGGCUAACUUCGUGCCAGCCGCCGCGGUAAAAC